GAUGAACGCUGGCGGCGUGCCUAAUACAUGCCAGUCGAGCGAACAGAUAAGGAGCUUGCCCCUUUGACGUUAGCGGCGGACGGGUGAGUAACACGUGGGUAACCUACCUAUAAGACUGGGAUAACUUCGGGAAACCGGAGCUAAUACCGGAUAAUAUUUCGAACCGCAUGGUUCGAUAGUGGAAGAUGGUUUUGCUAUCACUUAUAGAUGGACCCGCGCCGUAUUAGCUAGUUGGUAAGGUAACGGCUUACCAAGGCGACGAUACGUAGCCGACCUGAGAGGGUGAUCGGCCACACUGGAACUGAGACACGGUCCAGACUCCUACGGGAGGCAGCAGUAGGGAAUCUUCCGCAAUGGGCGAAAGCCUGACGGAGCAACGCCGCGUGAGUGAUGAAGGUCUUCGGAUCGUAAAACUCUGUUAUUAGGGAAGAACAUACGUGUAAGUAACUGUGCACGUCUUGACGGUACCUAAUCAGAAAGCCACGGCUAACUACGUG
rnacentral:rRNA from 1 species